rnacentral:rRNA from 1 species
GCCUAAUACAUGCAAGUCGAGCGGACAGAUGGGAGCUUGCUCCCUGAAGUCAGCGGCGGACGGGUGAGUAACACGUGGGCAACCUGCCUGUAAGACUGGGAUAACUCCGGGAAACCGGGGCUAAUACCGGAUAAUUCUUUCCCUCACAUGAGGGAAAGCUGAAAGAUGGUUUCGGCUAUCACUUACAGAUGGGCCCGCGGCGCAUUAGCUAGUUGGUGAGGUAACGGCUCACCAAGGCAACGAUGCGUAGCCGACCUGAGAGGGUGAUCGGCCACACUGGGACUGAGACACGGCCCAGACUCCUACGGGAGGCAGCAGUAGGGAAUCUUCCGCAAUGGACGAAAGUCUGACGGAGCAACGCCGCGUGA